CGUAGGGGGCAAGCGUUGUCCGGAUUUAUUGGGCGUAAAGAGCGUGUAGGCGGCCAGGUAGGUCAGCUGUGAAAACUCGAGGCUCAACCUCGAGAUGUCGGCUGAAACCAUCUGGCUAGAGUCCGGAAGAGGAGAAUGGAAUUCCCGGUGUAGCGGUGAAAUGCGCAGAUAUCGGGAAGAACACCCGUGGCGAAGGCGGUUCUCUGGGACGGUACUGACGCUGAGACGCGAAAGCGUGGGGAGCGAACAGGAUUAGAUACCCUGGUAGUCCACGCCGUAAACGAUGGGAACUAGGUGUGGGCGGUGUCGACUCCGUCCGUGCCGAAGCUAACGCAUUAAGUUCCCCGCCUGGGGAGUACGGCCGCAAGGCUA
rnacentral:rRNA from 1 species